AGUGAACGCUGGCGGUAGGCCUAACACAUGCAAGUCGAACGGCAGCACAGUACUAUCUUGCUCUUCCGGGUGGCGAGUCGCGUACGUGUGAGGAAUACAUCGUACUCUACUUUUUCGUGUGGGUUCACGUAGGUAAACUUACUCUAAUACCGCAUCCGACCUACGGUUGAAAGCAUUGGAUCUUCUGACCUUGCGCGAUUGAAUUAGCCGAGGUGGGAUUAGAUAGUUGGGGGGGUAAUGGCCCACCAAGGCGCCGAUCCGUAGCUGGUCUGAGAGUAGGAUAAGCGACACGGGAACGGAAACAGGGACAAGAGGACUAAGGGAGGCAGCAGAGGGGAAUAUUGGACAAUGGGCGGAAGCAUGAUACAGCCAUACCGCGUGGGUGAAGAAGGCGUUCGGGUUGUAAAGACCGUUUGUGGGGAAAGAAAAGCAGCAGGUUAAUACCCAGCUGUUCUGACGGUACCCAAAGAAGAAGCACCGGCUAACUUCGUG
rnacentral:rRNA from 1 species